rnacentral:rRNA from 1 species
CCUACGGGUGGCAGCAGUGAGGAAUAUUGGUCAAUGGACGAGAGUCUGAACCAGCCAAGUAGCGUGAAGGAUGACUGCCCUAUGGGUUGUAAACUUCUUUUAUAUGGGAAUAAAAUGUUCCACGUGUGGGAUUUUGUAUGUACCAUAUGAAUAAGGAUCGGCUAACUCCGUGCCAGCAGCCGCGGUAAUACGGAGGAUCCGAGCGUUAUCCGGAUUUAUUGGGUUGAAAGGGAGCGUAGGUGGAUUGUUAAGUCAGUUGUGAAAGUUUGCGGCUCAACCAUAAAAUUGCAGUUGAAACUGGCAGUCUUGAGUACAGUAGAGGUGGGCGGAAUUCGUGGUGUAGCGGUGAAAUGCUUAGAUAUCACGAAGAACUCCGAUUGCGAAGGCAGUUCACUGGACUGCAACUGACACUGAGGCUCGAAAGUGUGGGUAUCAAACAGGAUUAGAUACCCUGGUAGUC